rnacentral:lncRNA from 1 species
UUUUACACUUGACCUUUAAGUAUCCCUAGCGCAAGUGGCAAAGGGCUUGGUGGUUGGUACCCGAGGUCCCAAGUUCAAAUCCUAGUUGAUUCAUAUUUCCAGCUAAGUUUAUUUCUAAAUGAAAUAAACGAAACGGAUAGCGUGCUACCUAUCUCUCAAAAAAAAAAAAUCUAGAAAAAAUUAGUUUUUAUUUCUAAAUUGAGAAAUAAAAAUUUUAAAUUUUAUUUGAAGAUGAAUCUUUUACUAACUUCUCUAAUAAUAUUAUUGUUGGUAAUAAUUAUUUGAUAGGUUUAAAAACUUUUAUCUUUAUUAAAAUUAUAUUUUGAAACUUUUAUGUGGAACUGUGAAUUAUUUAUUGUUUUGUUUCAUACCGAAAAGACGACAAAUGAUUCAUUAUCUUUCAAAUUUUAUUAAAAGUAAUAAUAUUGUAAAUUUUAUUAAAGACGGUAAGUGAUUCAUCGUUUUCUAAUUAAUUUUCUUUUUAUUCUGGUACUCAGUUAAAUAAAAUAUAUAAUUAUUCAGUCAAAUAAAUAAAAUUAUUUGAUUAAAUUAUAAUUUUUUUUAAAAAAUGAUUUAGAAAAAGGUCCCCUUGUAUCGGAAACAGAAAAGAUUCUAGAAUGCACCGGGUGCAUUGGUGAGGUGGCGUCACAAACCAAUCAAAUAUCUCAUUUUAGAGAUAUAUGUCCCAUCAUGAUUGUAAAAAAAUAUUUUUAUUAUACUUUUAUUUGAAAGAAAAAAAUAUGAUUGACUUAUUAUUGAUAACGUGGUGCAAGUGUGACAGUGUAGAAUUCCUCCGGAAACAGGUGCGAA